UGUUUCAAUAGAUAGACCAUCUAACAUUAUAGUACUAUCUUACUACACAAUAAAAACCAAUUACACCAAGCAUGUUUCUAUAGAUAGACCGUCUAACAUUAUAGUACUAUCUAACUACACAAUAAAAACCAAUUAUACCAAGCAUGUUUCUAUAGAUAGACCAUCUAACAUUAUAGUACUAUCUUACUAUGCAAUACAAACCAUUUAUACCAAGCAUGUUUCAAUAGAUAGAACAUCUAACAUCAUAGUACUAUUUUACUACACAAUAAAAACCAGUUAUACCAAGCA
rnacentral:lncRNA from 1 species